rnacentral:rRNA from 1 species
UACGUAGGGCGCAAGCGUUGUCCGGAAUUAUUGGGCGUAAAGAGCUCGUAGGCGGCUUGUCACGUCGGAUGUGAAAGCCCGGGGCUUAACUCCGGGUCUGCAUUCGAUACGGGCUGGCUAGAGUGUGGUAGGGGAGAUCGGAAUUCCUGGUGUAGCGGUGAAAUGCGCAGAUAUCAGGAGGAACACCGGUGGCGAAGGCGGAUCUCUGGACAGUUCCUGACGCUGAGGCACGAAGGCCAGGGGAGCAAACGGG